GUGGGGAAUCUUCCGCAAUGGGCGCAAGCCUGACGGAGCAACGCCGCGUGAGUGAGGAAGGCCUUCGGGUUGUAAAACUCUGUCAUCAGGGAAGAAACAAAUGACGGUACCUGAGGAGGAAGCCACGGCUAACUACGUGCCAGCAGCCGCGGUAAUACGUAGGUGGCGAGCGUUGUCCGGAAUUACUGGGCGUAAAGAGCGCGUAGGCGGGGAUUUAAGUCAGGAGUGAAAACUGGCGGCUCAACUGCCAGCCUGCUCUUGAAACUGGAUUUCUUGAGGGUAUGAGAGGGAAGCGGAAUUCCCAGUGUAGCGGUGAAAUGCGUAGAUAUUGGGAGGAACACCAGUGGCGAAGGCGGCUUUCUGGCAUACAACUGACGCUGAGGCGCGAAAGCGUGGGGAGCGAACGGGAUUAGAUACCCCAGUAGUCC
rnacentral:rRNA from 1 species